CGAAGGACGAACGCUGGCGGCGUGCUUAACACAUGCAAGUCGAACGGUGAACCAGAGCUUGCUCUGGGGAUCAGUGGCGAACGGGUGAGUAACACGUGGGCAACCUGCCCCAGACUCUGGGAUAACCUCGGGAAACCGAUGCUAAUACCGGAUACGACCACUUCGGACAUCCGACGGUGGUGGAAAGUUUUUCGGUCUGGGAUGGGCCCGCGGCCUAUCAGCUAGUUGGUGGGGUAAUGGCCUACCAAGGCGACGACGGGUAGCCGGCCUGAGAGGGCGACCGGCCACACUGGAACUGAGACACGGUCCAGACUCCUACGGGAGGCAGCAGUGGGGAAUAUUGCACAAUGGGCGGAAGCCUGAUGCAGCGACGCCGCGUGAGGGACGACGGCCUUCGGGUUGUAAACCUCUUUCAGCAGGGACGAAGCGAAAGUGACUGUACCUGCAGAAGAAGCACCGGCUAACUACGUG
rnacentral:rRNA from 1 species